rnacentral:rRNA from 1 species
CCUACGGGCGGCUGCAGUGAGGAAUAUUGGUCAAUGGGCGCAAGCCUGAACCAGCCAAGUCGCGUGAGGGAAGACGGUCCUAUGGAUUGUAAACCUCUUUUGUCGGGGAGCAAAGCGCGGUACGAGUACCGUGAAGGAGAGUACCCGAAGAAAAAGCAUCGGCUAACUCCGUGCCAGCAGCCGCGGUAAUACGGAGGAUGCGAGCGUUAUCCGGAUUUAUUGGGUUUAAAGGGUGCGUAGGCGGAUUUGUAAGUCAGCGGUAAAAAUGCGGUGCUCAACGCCGUAUCGCCGUUGAAACUGCGGGUCUUGAGUGAGCGAGAAGUAUGCGGAAUGCGUGGUGUAGCGGUGAAAUGCAUAGAUAUCACGCAGAACGCCGAUUGCGAAGGCAGCAUACCGGCGCGCAACUGACGCUGAGGCACGAAAGCGUGGGGAUCGAACAGGAUUAGAUACCCUAGUAGUC